GAGGCGGGUGGCAGUCACGCCUGGAGCUGCUGCAGCGUUUUCUGCCAGCAGCUGGCGGAGGCCUGUGGGCUCGGAGCGAGCGAGCCGCUGGAGGAGGGAACGCUGCAGCGCUACGCGUGUCUGGCGACAAGUGAUCCAGGUUCUCCUUGCUCCCUCAGCUACUUUAAACUGUAGAUACCUGAGACUUCUCGUUCCUAGGUUUACUUUUCUGUUCCUGAAAUUCUCAUCACAACGAGAGUAAGGUGCCUUUUUCAGCCUCGUCAUUCCAGAUACCGAGCUCAGGUUGACAUCUUACUUUCUGAUAGCUGAAGGAAGUAUGUUCGUUUUCCUUCUACAGAUAAGAGAUGUUAUUGCCAGUACUUAAUCUGUUUAAUGGGUUUAAAGGGAACAGUAGUAAAAGUAGGAGAAUCCUGAAGCUAAAAGAGCAGUCAGAGGUCUGAUCUUUAACUAAAUUGGCAUGCAUACGCUGCCUGAAGGGAACAGUUAUUUUAUCUUUCUAUAUACACCUUAUAUAUACAUGUAUAGACAUGUAUAUGUGCAUACAUUUAUACAUAUUAAUGUGACCACAUGUAUAUGGACAUGUGUGUGUAUAUAUAUAUAUAGAACCACACCUGUUUGUAGUUGCCUCAGUUCUGAAAUUAUUGUUCAGAAUGAAGCACUUAAUAUCCUGCUGUUUUAGACAAGUUAACUCAGUAUAAAUAGCAUUACUGCUUUUGUUCAGCAUAAGCAACUUUUAAGAGUUACAGGCACUUCCUUUUGGCUCUGUGCUUCUUUGUUCUCAGGAAGUGUGACCGCGAUCUGCAGCAUGAGGAGGAACUGUUUGGAACGUACCUUUUUGGGGUGUUUCUGGGCAUCAGUGGUGUAAAUUGCUUGUCUGAUGCUGAGAUCUAAACUGGUCCCAGCAGUCUUAAGUACUGGGAAAAUGUGCAUGGAGUUCACCUUUUCUUUUGUUGUUUUGCAUAUCAGCAGAUGCAUUUCUGGAGAUGUCCACCACCUUCUCAUCACCUCUUAAUAUUCAUAUUUUAACAAAUUUGUUACUGAAUAUGUGAUGUUUGCUUUACAUGAACAUUGGGUCAAAUCUCUGAUUGGUAGCACAAGCCUGUUGUUGGUGUUUUUAUGAUGUUUUGCUAUCACUAGCAUUGCUGCCUAGCAGAAGGGAGCUCCUGGACAAACUCAAAUACGAAAAGGAAGCCUACACAGGGUAGAAGCAAGAACAGGUAAUCUGGGAGGAAUACAGAGAAAUUGUCCAAGCAGUUAAGGAUCAGGUUAGCAAAGCUAAAGCUCUAAUAGAAUUUAAUCUGGCAGGAACAUCAAGGGCAACUGGAAAAGCUUCUGUUGGUGUGUUGGUAAUAAGAGGAAGACUAGAGAAAAUGUGGGCCUUCUCUGGAAGGAAACGGGAGACUUGAUUACCUGGGACAUGGGGAAGGCUGAGGUACUCAAUGACUUUUUUGCCUCCAUCUUCACUGGCAAGUGCUCCAGCCACACCGCCCAAGUCAGAAGGCGAUGGCAGGGACUGCAAGAAUGAAGAGCUGCCUGCUGUAGCAGAUCAGGUUUGAGACCAUCUAAGGAACCUGAAGUUGCACAAGUCCAUGGGACCUGAUGACAUGCAUCUGCAGGUCCUGAGGGAAGCGGAGGACGAAGUGGCCAAGCUACUAUUCAUCAUAUCUGAGAAGUCAUGGCAGUCUGUUGGAAGUUCCCACUGACUGGAAAAGGGGGAAAAAAAAAAGACCUGGGGAACUACAGGCUGAUCAGUCUUACCUCUGUGCCCAGCAAGAUCAUGGAGCAGAUCCUCCUGGAAACUGUGCAAAGGCACAUGGAAAAUAAGGAGGUGUGACUGGUGACAGCCAACAUGGCUUCACUAAGGGCAGAUCACACCUGAAAAAUUUGAUGGCCUUCUAUGACAGGGUUACAGCUUUUGUAGAUGAGGGAUGAGAAACUGACAUCAUCUGCCUGGACUUGUGCAAAGCAUUUGACACUGUCCUGCAUGACAUCCUUGUCUCUAAACUGAAGAGGUGUGGAUUUGAUGGAUGGACCACUCAGUGAAUGAGGAAUUAGCUGGAUGGUCACACACAAAGAGUUGUGGACAAUGGCUUGAUGUCCAGGUGGAGACCAGUGACAAGUGGUGUUCCUCAGGGGUCAGUGUUGGGACCGGUGCUGUUUAACACCAUUGGCAACAUGGAUGCUGGGAUCAAGUGGACCCUCAGCAGGUUUGCUGACACUACUAAACUGUGUGGUGUGGUUGACACACUAGAGGGGAGAGAUGCCAGCUUGAGGCUUGAGAAGUGGACCAGCUCGUGAAGUUCAAAAAGAUCAUGUGCAAGGCCCUGCACCUGGGUCAGGGCAAUCCCCAGUACCAGUACAGAAUGGGGAACGAAUGGACUAAGUAAGAUCAGCCCUGCAAAGGAGGACACGGGAAUACUGAGUAGAUGAAAAAGUAGCUAUGAGCCAGCAGCAUGUGCCUGCACCCCAGAAAUGCAGCCAUAUUCUGGGCUGCAUCAAAAUAAUUUUUUCUUUUCAGGUGCUGCUGCAUCAGGGCCAGCAGGUUGAGGGAGGAGAUUCUGCCCCUCUGCUCAGCUCCCCCGGAGCCCUACAUCCAGCUCUGGGGUCCCCGGUACAAGGAAGACACGGACCUGUCGGAGCGGGUCCAGAGGAGGCCAUGGAGAUGCUCAGAAGGCUGGAGCCCCUCUGCUGUAGAGACAGGCUGAGAGAGCUGGGCUUGUUCAGCCUGGGGAGGAGAAGGCUGUGGGGGAGACCUGACUGGGGCCUUUCUACUUAUAAAGGAGGAUCAUAAGAAAGAUGGAGAAACCUUUUACCGGGGCCUGCAGUGACAGGGCAAGGGGCAGUGGAUAUAAACGGGAAGAAGAUAGGUUUAGACUGGGUGUGAGGAAGAAAUUCUGACUAUGAGUGUGGUGAGACACUGGAGCAGAGAAGCUGUGGAUGCCCCAUCUCUGGAAGUGUCAGAUGGGACUUGAAGCAGCCUGGUAUAGUGGAAGAUGUCCCAGCCCAUGGCAGGGUAGUUGGACUAGAUGAUCUCUAAAGGUCCCUUGAACCCACACCAUUCUCUGUUUCUGUAUUCCUGGUGCAACCCUAAUUAAUGCUUUGAUCAUCUUUUAUAGUGCCUAUUUAUUCCAUUGUGUCUAGUGUAGAUGCAAAUAAUAAAUUUGAGUAGUGGCAAACUUCUUAGCAUAAGUUAUAUACUAGAAUAACUUGUUUCACCACUGCUUUUAAGACCAAGUGACUGCUAUGUAAUCUUGCAUGUUGUACUGUGGAAUUGCUAGUCGACAUUGAAAGUUUAAAUAGGUUAAUGCUACCAAGUCAUAAACCCCUCAUCUCAUUGCUUGGAUUAAUCUCUAAUUGAAAAUAAAACAAUGCUUACAUGAAAGUGUCUUGUUAAUGUAGCAUGUUUCAUUUAUGAAAUAGGAGAGAUGAUAACUCUUAACUGUUAAACUUUUUUUCAGAUACUUUUGUUGAAACUAGGUAAAAUGGUGACACUAAUUCGCACUUUAGCAGAUCAUAGUGAUGAUGUCAACUACUGUGCCUUCUCAUCAUCAUGCUUGGCUACUUGUUCCUUGGACAAAACAGUUCGUGUUUAUUCUUUAAACAACUUUAUGGAGCUUCCAUACUCGCCUUUAAAAGGUCAUACAUACGCUGUCCACUGCUGCUGCUUUUCUCCAUCAGGACACAUUCUAGUUUCAUGUUCAACAGAUGGCACUACCAUGGUGUGGGACACUCGUGAUGGGCAGAUGCUGGCAGUGCUAGAGCAGCCCAGCAGCAGUCCUGUGAGAGUCUGCCGGUUUUCUCCCAAGUCCACACACCUAGUGUCAGGGGCAGCGGAUGGGAGUGUUGUUCUUUGGAACAUGCGGUCGUUGAAACUGUACAGAUCUGGGAAUGUUAAAGAUGGUUCUUUGGUGGCCUGUGCAUUUUCUCCUAAUGGAAAUUUCUUUGUCACUGGAUCAUCGUGUGGUGAUUUAACCAUUUGGGAUGAUAAAAUGAGAUGCCUGUAUAACGAAAAAGCACAUGAUCUUGGUGUUACCUGCUGUGAUAUUUCUUCACAGCCAAUUUCUGAUGUUGAACAUGAAUUCACAUAUUUCCAGAUGGCUUCUUGUGGUCAAGAUUAUCAGAUCAAACUCUGGCUUAUUUUGUUUGCAGAUUUCAUAGGUGUUGAAUUAAAAUACAAAUGCACACUGAGUGGACAUUCUGCCCCAGUUCUGGCUUGUGCAUUUUCUUACGAUGGGCAGAUGUUAGCUUCAGGGUCUGUGGACAAGUGUGUCAUAAUAUAUGAAACUAGUACUGGCAAUAUCCUUCAUACUUUGUCUCAGCAUACCAGAUACGUUACAACUUGUGGUUUUGCACCACAUAGUCCGUUACUUGCCACAGGUUCAAUGGAUAAAACUGUGAACAUAUGGCAGUUGGACCUUAAGCAACCCUGUGCAGGAAAUAUGGUAGAAAAUGAAUCUAAGCUGGCUGUUAAGGACUGGUCAGAGGAUGAUGUUUCAGCCUGGCUUUGUGCACAAGACUUAGCAGACUUUGUUGAGCUUUUCAAAAUGAAUAACAUUGAUGGCAAGGAACUACUGAAUCUUACUAAAGAAGGUCUGACUAAUGAAUUAAAAAUUGAGGGUGGGCAGGAGGCGAGACUAGCUCUGAAAACGACACCUUCAGUUUAGAGGUUAGUGCCAUCGAAAGUGUUUUGUGCUGUACUACCACAAAUUGUAAAGAAGUUGGAAGUAUUCCAGAUACUUUCCCUUCUUCUGCAGCACAUUGAGAAGGCUUUUCAUGUGACUCUGUCCUGAUUUAGGUUUGGUAUGUAAAGAGAACAGAUUAUCUUAAAGACAGUUCAACCCUUUCCUUACUGCAGGGUGUCCUUAGAACGUGAAACAGGGAUAAUAAGCACAAACUGAAUUUUGAAGUCCCUGAUCAGGCUGUUUGUCGUCUUUUCCAUAAGCAAUAUACUUCAAAGAUGUGGGGGUUUUUGUCUUCCUUUUUUGUUUUUAAGGUUUCAUUCUAAGUACAUACAAAAAGUACAAGCAAGUUCUUUCCUGUUUCACAUCUUUAUCAAGAAACUCUGAGCAUUAGAAUGCGCUCGGAAGCAACAUUGUGGAGCAGAAUUUGAAUCAAUCGUGACUAUUUACGCUGAAGUAGGAGUAAACUUUGGGAGAAUUGCUCAGUACAGAUAUAACAGCAAAUGGCAAGUGCUUUGCCUAUAUCAACAAAAUCUUAUUUUAAGUGUUCUUUUAUGACUGGUUUUCAAAAAAUGAUCUAUCACAGAUAAUUCUUUAAUCCCUGAUGAGAUUUAAUCAGGAGGUAGUUAAUUGAGGUGUAGACUGGAUGCAAUAAUCUUUAAUCUGGAUGAGGUGAAUUUAGGGGAAAUUGCCCAUGUGAUAAAGGUUGUAGAAGAUGCCCUCAAAAUCCAGUUGUAACUACAGAAUUAUUUGGUUUCUUCUUUACGUUUCUUUCUGUCGGAUAUAUUCUUAAUUUUUCUUGAUCUUACAAACUGAUCUUACAGAUUUUUACAAAAUUGGCCGUGCAAACUGUUCCUAAGAAUCAGCAUGAACUUUUAUUGUAUUUCAGUACUGUAUUUCAGUUCUGAGGUUGUCUUUAUCUUUACAUAUGUUGUUACAUAAUCCUUAUUAAGGAAAUGUAGGUUAAUCUUUUAUGACUGAUUUUCAUCCCUUUGCACACAUCGUUUGAGGCAGCUGGUUAACUGUACAGCGAAGCUGGAAGCACUGGUGUGUUGGGGCUGGUCUGCUUGGCAGUCUGCAGGUGGGGUGGGGCAGUCGGUUGGAAGACUGCUGGGUCAGCUUUUUAUUUUAGUAUUGAGGAUAGAGAAUUAACCAGAGUAGGAACUAGUAUACACCACUGCUAGAUGGGAAGAAAAAAAAUGUGACACAGGUUUUUUGACAUAAAAGCGUUUUUAAAAAGAUGAAUGUUUUGUGCUGCUGCAAGAUGAAGGUUACUGAUAUCCAGGAUGCAUUUUCAAUCGUGACAAGUUAAAAUUGUAUUGUGACCAUUUAUAGAACUAUAAAAUUACUUUUCUCAUUAUCAGAUUUCUUUUCUCCUCUUCUCACACUUAAGUUGGAAAGAAUGGCAGCUGUCUCAGGCACAGGUUUCUCUCUUUUUUCAGAUUCACAGCUGUUGUAUAGUCUCAGUAAAAGGGUAAUAGUAAGUACUCAAAUAGGUUUUAGGAUACUUUCAUGGGGGGGUUAUGUGUUAAUCAUGUGUUAAUAUAUUAAUAAUGUGUUAUAGUAUUUGUGAUGCUAUACAUGAACAUGAAAAAGUUUAUACGGCAACAUGUGCGCUGUGGAGAGAAGAGCUUGCAAGACUCGCAAAUAUCAGAUCAGAGUAUUCUUUCUUUAAAAAAACUCAACAAACAAAACUAAUGCAGUUUUCAUAGACUCGGACAAAAUAUCAACACUUAGGCUCCACAGGUCUUUUUUUAUGCAAAAGAGAUUGGUUAUAUUUGAUUGAACCAAAAUGAAUGGAUUCACUCUUUACUAAAACCAAAGAUGGUUAAUGCUCACAAUAACAGGCCCCUCUUUCCCUAGUCAUUCCCACCAUUGGAUUUUAAUUUUUUUUCAGGGGAUUUUGUUUUGUGCCAAGAACCAGCUCACCUUCACUUGCAAUAGUACAUUACUAUAUAUGAUUUGAGAACAUUUGUGAUAAUAUAUUUGUGCACCAUCAAGUUUAAAAAUACCAACUGUCAGCACUAAGUGUAUGUUAGACUGGAGCUGUAUGUCAGUAUAAAAGGCAAUGAUGACUAUGCUACUGGGCAUUUUCAUCAUGUUUUUUGAAAAAAAUUCUUCUGAAAUGUCAUUUUCCCCUGCCCCAACAUAUAAGAUGAUGUUCAGCUUUAGUCAGAAGUUGCAUGCAUUUUUUCCUCUUGUAUACAGCUAUUCUGCUGGUCCGCCCCCGAAUCAAAAUAUUCAUUAUUUUUAUUUACAUGGACUGAGUGCGUUGUGCUUUCACUGCUUUCUGCUUCGGCUGUCUUGCUUGAUAGUGAAACUAUAAAUGUAAGUAAUUCAAUACAGCACUUUAAAUAGCAUAAUUGAAGCACUGAUGUCUUAGGCUGCUUUGCAGGUAGUCAUGCCACUAGGUAGUUCAUUUUGUUUCUUGUGAAUGAGAAGUAUAAAUGGAUUCUGCACAGUGUGUGGGAAUGAAUAUAACUUGUGUGUCCCCACCUUCGGUGGAUGGAAGCAAGCAUUAAACUGGAUUGUGAACAAUGUUUUUGGCAGAGGUAUUCAUAAAACACAUCUCACAAACUAUAGUCAAACUUGAUGAGAAUUUAUAAAAGACUUAGGUUCCUAUACAUUAAUCUCAAUAUAAUUUGUAAGUGUACCAUGAAUCCAAAUUUGUUAGCAAUAUUUGUGCUAUGUUGUAAUACCUAAUUCUGUGCCAGACAUUUUAAAAAAAUACAGUGAGGUGGGUAAUCCAUCGAGAUAGUCUUACUAGAUAGUUGCUUUCUAGAGUGGAUAGAAGAGAACUGAAUGAACAUCUUCUGCAAUCAGUUUAGUGGUAGCGGUGCUGCCACCGUGGUGAGAUACAGUGGGAACAUCAUCUCCACAGUAAUAAAGGAGCUCUGUUUCUGAAACCUUGAACGAAAGGUGGAGGUCUGUGUGUAUCACAAGGGCUUCAGAAUGUCUUACCCAGGUUUUUCAGGGUUUAUCAUAAUCUUGCCAAGGAGAUUGUCCACAGUGAGGUUACUAUUUAAGAAAGGACAGUUGGGAGUAAAAUAAAUUAUACAGUUUUAUUGGUCUUGGGUGAAGCAGAGUGCACCUCAUUGUAAAUGCUACGCAUGUGUCUGCGGAGAGGAAUGCCAGUGAACAAUGUAACUGUAAAAAUAAGUGAUUUCCAUUUUGAUACAGGUUCCUUACAGAAGCAUCGCCUGAGUAUUGAGGUGUUGCAAGUCUAAGACCCUAUUGUUCAUGAGACAGGAGCAUAUAACAAUGAAGUGUAAUUUGCAGGCCCAGUGUACAAACACACCUUAUUGUUGUUGAUGCAUUGUUUGAAGACUGCAAAGUUACUGUUGAUGGGUUUUCACUUUAUUGUCUUGAGCGCUUCUGGACUGAACAGGCUGAAAUAAAACAAGGAAGCAUGGCAUAGCCAUAGCUGUGUUUGUAGUUUUAUUUUUAGAUUAGGAGGAUGUUACUCUUUUAAAAAACACAAGUUAGGCAUUCUUCAGUCUUCCCUUUGUAAGCUAUAAGACAGCAAUACUUUUGGAAGCCACAGGACAGCAAUACUAUAUGACAGGUGUAGGGUGUUGUAAUAAAGAGAUGUCAAUGACCUUGUGUGACAAAAGCUAAUGUGAAGGUUAAGGGAAAUAAAAUUAAUUAUACUUUUACAGGAAUGGUAUAUCCUUAUAUUUAGCAUGACUGGAAGGACAAAGCAGUCAGUCCCUGUAAUGUUAGUGGUACUGAGGUUUUUUACUCUGUAAUUACUUUUUUUAAUCCCUGCAAACAGAUAGUCACUGCAUGAAUUGUGUGUUUUGUAACACAUCAGGCAUUUAGAGAAAUUACUGUAUUGGUGGCUUGAAAUUAGUUCUUUACAGUGUGCCACCUCCUUUUAUUUUGCAUCUUGCUAUUUUGUGGCUUGUAUUACUUAAAACAAUGUUUAUAUCAAUUUAUAUGUUUUAAGCUUUCAAAGUUAUGUCAGUAUUUUAAAAGCGCUUUUCUAAGAUUAAUAUUAAAAAGCCAUUCUAAGAUUUGUUGAUGAGCUUUUUCAGGGUUCCUCUGGCAGGGUAACAUUUUUAUCUUUUCUAAUUUUUUUAAUCUGGCAUAGUUGGAAGCUGAACAGUCAUCCUGGCAUGGUAAUGUGGGAGAAAGACACAGCUAACGGAGUCUCUAGGCCUGCGCAGUAAAGUCCUCCAGAAAAUUGAAGAACUUAGGAUGAAAAUGAUCUCUGCUUCUGUUGAUAUCCCUGAUGAGUUCUUAUGUCCUAUAACAAGAGAGCUUAUGAAGGACCCUGUCAU